GCACAACGUACACUUCGACCUACCUGCGCUCUGAUCUCCCGAAUGAACCCCUUGAAGCCGAGUUAAACUGAGGAGGUGUCCUUCCCACUUCGCACCCAGUCCCGCGCUGGAGAUGUGGUUCUGCUGCUGUUGGAGCCUACAAUCUACAUUCUGACGCCUUGUUUCCGGGCCGAUUGGGUGAUCUGGUGCUUUGCCGUCUCUGAGAGGGUUCCAGGAGGCUGCAAGUAAAGCGUGCAACCUGGAGACACGGCGCAAGCCCGUGUUCAACUCCAUCUCUUGCCAAUCUUGCCGAUGAAAGUGAAAUCAUCAAGGCGAGUGAGUGUUCAGCACUAUCUAUCAACCUCUCACUCACUACUGCCGGAGGAAGGUGUCUGUGUGUGGUGGUUUCUCUCUCCUUCUCGCUCAGUGCUCCUGAGGAAAGCUUCCUGCAUUCAAGUGAGCUCUCUCUCCCUCGAUGCUAUCAGAGGAUGGUGCCAGAGCAAGGUUUAAUCGACGUGGUUUGUGGAUUGUGGACUCUAAUUCACGGAUGAUGUGUUUCUAGUUUUUCUGAUGUCACGUGACCGGCAACAUUGAAUAUAGAAUUGAGUUGGAUUUUAUAAAAACAAACAUUUAUUAAACUUUGCUCAAAAAUAGCGAAAUGUAUUUAAACGACUAACUUAAUCGGAAGUUAACUGCUAUACGGCAACUCUGGAACAGUUCUUAAAAGGGAACGACACCGAUCUGGCUUUGUUGCAGUUCUCUAGUAUGGAGUUGCAGCGUCAUCUAGUGGCCGUUUAGAUCUACAACGUCAAACGAGAGAAAAUCUGCAGAUGCUGGAAAUCCAAGUAACACACACGAAGUUCUGGAGGAACUCAGCAGGCCAGGCAGCAUCUAUACAGUCGAUGUUUCAGGCUGAGACCCUUCAUCAGAUCCACAAUGUGUGCAUCCGUUUCAGA